rnacentral:rRNA from 1 species
CGUAGGGGGCUAGCGUUGUCCGGAUUUAUUGGGCGUAAAGAGCGUGUAGGCGGCUUGGCAAGUCUGCUGUGAAAACUCGAGGCUCAACCUCGAGCUGUCGGUGGAAACUGCUUGGCUAGAGUCCGGAAGAGGAGAGUGGAAUUCCUGGUGUAGCGGUGAAAUGCGCAGAUAUCAGGAAGAACACCUAUGGCGAAGGCAGCUCUCUGGGACGGUACUGACGCUGAGACGCGAAAGCGUGGGGAGCGAACAGGAUUAGAUACCCUGGUAGUCCACGCCGUAAACGAUGGGUGCUAGGUGUGGGGGGUGUCGACUCCCUCCGUGCCGAAGCUAACGCAUUAAGCACCCCGCCUGGGGAGUACGGCCGCAAGGCUA